GACGAACGCUGGCGGCGGGCCUAAUACAUGCAAGUAGGGCGAGUUGCGAACGGGUGAGUAACGCGUGGUAACCUGCCUAUUAGCGGGGGAUAACUAUUGGAAACGAUAGCUAAUACCGCAUACUAGUAGAUAGACCUGCGUUGUAUUAGCUAGUAGGUAGGGUAAUGGCCUACCAAGGCGACGAUACAUAGCCGACCGGAGAGGGGGAUCGGACACACUGGGACUGAGACACGGUCCAGACUCCUACGGGAGGCAGCAGUGGGGAAUAUUGCACAAUGGGCGCAAGCCUGAUGCAGCCAUGCCGCGUGUAUGAAGAAGGCCUUCGGGUUGUAAAGUACUUUAAGCGGGGAGGCGUUACCCGCAGAAGAAGCACCGGCUAACUCCGUGCCAGCAGCCGCGGUAAUUC
rnacentral:rRNA from 1 species